rnacentral:tRNA from 1 species
GGGGAUUUAGCUGAGUGAUGCAGUGCCUGCUUGGCAAGUCUGAGGCCCUGAGUUCAAUUCCCAGUAUCCCCA